AGUAACAACGAUUACUAUCGUGCUGUGCUGGUGGUGGGAGAAGAUAACAAUGAAAAACAAUAUAGUAAAAGUGAUAGUUCCCGUCAAAAUCGUGUUGAUCCACGGUUGGAGAAGCGUUUCGUGAAGAAUAGGUGUUUCAAAGAAUCGUAUUUUAAGUAUUCACAUCUUGACAGAACUUACACAUCGUUAAAUCAGGCGCACGCGAUAUUGAGAUGCAUCAAAAGGGUACAGCAGACGAAAAGACGCCGCUUCUACAGCAGCAGUCGGGGCCGCCAUCGAAACAUCAUAAUAAAAGCACAUCAGAAAAAAGUUCAGAACAUCAAAAUCCAAGCACAUCAAUGCCUAUUCCCCAAGAACAUUCAGUGAUUAAUAAUCCAAGCACAUUGGUGUCUAUUCCCCAAGAACAUUCAGUGAUUAAUAAUCAAAGCGCAUUGGUGCCUAUUCCCCAACAACAUUCAGUGCAUAAUAAUCAAAGCACAUUGGUGGCUAUUCCUCAACAACAUUCAGUGCAUAAUAAUCAAAGCGCAUUGGUGCCUAUUCCCCAACAACAUUCAGUGCAUAAUAAUCAAAGCACAUUGGUGCCUAUUCCCCAACAACAUUCAGUGCAUAAUAAUCAAAGCGCAUUGUUGCCUAUUCCCCAAGAACAUUCAGGGCAUAAUAAUUCAAGCACAUUGGUGACUAUUCCCCAACAACAUUCAGUGCAUAAUAAUUCAAGCACAUUGGUGACUAUUCCCCAACAACAUUCAGUGCAUAAUAAUUCAAGCACAUUGGUGCCUAUUCCCCAACAACAUUCAGUGCAUAAUAAUCCAAGCACAUUGGUGCCUAUUCCCCAACAACAUUCAGUGCAUAAUAAUCAAAGCACAUUGAUGCACAUUCCUCAACAACAUUCAGUGCAUAAUAAUCAAAGCACAUUGAUGCACAUUCCUCAACAACAUUCAGUGCAUAAUAAUCAAAGCACAGGAGUGAAUAUGCAUGGACAACAUUUAGCAAGUCAUUCAGAAUGAAAAUACCCAAACAAAUAGAAAAAGUCAUUGGGACGAAAUAAAUUUAUAUCAACAGAGAAGAUCGCUGGGAAAAGGAUUGAUGAAUCUGGCAACUUUUUCGUCCAACGCCAACCAGCUGAGAUACAUACUCGAGGAGUCCCCAAACAUGGAGGAAAAAUACUUCUAUAUUAUCACCUCUGCCAUUGUAAUCAGCAUUUUAUUGCAGGUAGCAGUAGCCAUUGGACUGAUCUGGACUGACUCUCACAACACGAUAAAAGAUGCUCCCAUGGAAAGUAAUGCGCAAACACAUGGUAACAUAAUCCUUGGAACAAUUUUGCUCAUAACAAUUAUAAACGUUUUCAUUUCAUCUUUUGGAACACCAUCUUUCGCGAUGAAACAUAUACGAAAAAAUUACCAAACUUCUCAGGAAAACCGAUAGUAGAUACGGUAGUCUACGACCAGCGUUCGAAUCGUUACAAAACAUUCGAAUGAUGCUUGUGAUAUUUUAUAGAGAUGACAUAUUCAAUCUAAAUGAAAAUAUAAUUCUUAUUACCCUUUUUUAAAUUAUUUAGUCAUUAAAAAAAGGGUACUGAGAAAUAAACGAAAAUAAGUUUUUCUUGCUGUAUUUUUAUUUAUAUUCAAAAAGUAGCGCUAAAGAAAAAAACAAUAUGACAUUCAUUAUAAAUAAUGAAAAAUAUCGGGGGACCGAGCUUUGCUCUGGAGUGUAAAAGCAUAGAAAAUUUGUAACGAAAGAUUGAAUUUAUAGUUUAUAUCUAUUUUUUUAUUCAUUUUCACAGUUGUACAAUUAUUUUGACAGUAAUGAGGAAGCACAACCACUACCUCCGUAAUUUUUUACGGAGGUAGUGGCACAACAGGCUUAUGCCCAAAACUGUCCCUUUUCAAAUUUAUACUACCUACAGUCCAAAUCGAAAUCUACUAUCACUCAUCAAAAUAACAAUUUAUUCACACUUCGAAAAACAAACACAUCAUCAAUUACAAAUAGAUAUACUAUGAAUUCGAUUUAGAAUAUGAUUUCGAUUUACUAUGGUUGCUACAAAUAUUUGUUAACAUAAUAUUUACUAUUCUACACUAACAGCAUCUAGUCGUUACUAUUUUGGACUUUCUAAAGUGAACAUGCUUUCUAAAAAAAAGAGAAAUAAAAAAAAAUAAGUUUUUCUUGCUAAGUUUUUCUUCUCGUGAGAUCAGCUGAAUGAUCCCAGACAUGCACUCAUUCACUCACUUCCAUUGCGGUAUUGACAGACGACAAAAUUUCCAUCUGUUUUUCCAAGGACGUAUUUAUCCUUUUAAUGUCCUUUAGCGAGUUUUCCUAGAGUUGAGAGUUGGGACCUAGCAAUCGAAUUUUUAUAUCAUAAACCUACUUUGUUCCAAAUAUCGUGAGAAUC